UACGGGGGGGGCAAGCGUUGUUCGGAAUUACUGGGCGUAAAGGGCGCGUAGGCGGCCAACUAAGUCAGACGUGAAAUCCCUCGGCUUAACCGGGGAACUGCGUCUGAUACUGGUUGGCUUGAAUCCGGGAGAGGGAUGUGGAAUUCCAGGUGUAGCGGUGAAAUGCGUAGAUAUCAGCAGGAACACCGGAGGCGAAGGCGGCUCACUGGGGCUUUUCUGACGCUGAGGAACGAAAGCCAGGGGAGCGAACGGG
rnacentral:rRNA from 1 species